ensembl:snRNA U6 U6 spliceosomal RNA
CAGCUAUCGGCAGCAGGUAUCCUAAAACUGGAACGUACAGAGACGAUUAGCAGGGCCCCUGUCCAAGGGGGACGUGCAAAUUUGUGAAGCAUUCCAUAUUUAA